rnacentral:rRNA from 1 species
CGUAUUCGACCUGAGCUCAGG